CGGAAGCGGAAGCGCCCGGAGCGGCAUGGAGGAGGCGGCGGCGGGUGGGAGGGUGUUGCUGGCCCUGCCCGGGGUCGCUGUCCCCGUGUCCCUCCCCCCGCGGCUGCUGAGGGGACACCUCCGACUGCUGAGGGGGCCGCAGGACCUGGUGCUGCAAUGGGAACCCCUGGAGGGGCCCUGGGAACCCCCCGGUGACGCGG